rnacentral:rRNA from 1 species
AACGUAGGAGGCAAGCGUUAUCCGGAUUUACUGGGCGUAAAGCGCAUGCAGGUGGUUUUGUAAGUUGGAUGUGAAAGCUCCUGGCUUAACUGGGAGAGGUCGUUCAAAACUACAAGACUUGAGAUUGGUAGAGGAAAAUGGAAUUCCGGGUGUAGUGGUGAAAUGCGUAGAUAUCCGGAGGAACACCAGUGGCGAAAGCGGUUUUCUGGACCAAUUCUGACACUCAGAUGCGAAAGCUAAGGUAGCAAACGGG